AAUGAACGCUGGCGGCAGGCCUAACACAUGCAAGUCGAGCGGCCGCACGGGAAGAGCGCGCUCGUGCGGGUAGCGAGUGGCGGACGGGUGAGGAAUACAUAGGAACCUACUGUUACUGGGGGGAUUACGGAGGAAAACUUAUGCUAGAACCGCAUAUCACGUACGGGUUAAACCAGGGUUGCUUCGGACCUUGGUCGGUUCAUUGAGACGAGGUCGGAUUAGCUAGUUGGGGUGGUAAAGGCAUACCAUGGCAACGAUCCGUAGCUGGUCUGACAGGGUGAUCCGCCACACUGGAACUGAGACACGGUCCAGACUCCUACGGGAGGAAGCAGUCGGGAAUCUUACGCAAGGGGCGAAAGCCUGAUCCAGCAAUACCGCGUGAGUGAUGAAGGCCUUCGGGUUGGAAAGCCCUGUUGUUGGGAAAGAAGAACAGCAGGUUCAGCUGCGGAUGUUAUGACGGUACCAAAAGAAUAAGCCCCGGCUAACUUCGUG
rnacentral:rRNA from 1 species